rnacentral:rRNA from 1 species
UACGGAGGGUGCAAACGUUGCUCGGAAUCAUUGGGCGUAAAGCGCACGUAGGCGGCCCGCUAAGUCGGAUGUGAAAUCCCUCGGCUCAACCGAGGACGUGCAUUCGAUACUGGCAGGCUUGGAAAUAUGGGAAGAGGGUCGCGGAAUUCCUGGUGUAGCGGUGAAAUGCGCAGAUAUCAGGAGGAACACCGGUGGCGAAGGCGGGUCUCUGGGCCGAAAUUGACGCUGAGGAGCGAAAGCGUGGGGAGCAAACAGG